rnacentral:lncRNA from 1 species
UCCACCUCGCUUAUUUGUUCUUCUGCCUCCUGGAUUCUGCUGUUGGUUCCUUCUAGUGGAUUUAAAAUUUUUGUUAUUGUAUUUUGCAUCUUUUCUUGUUUAAGUUUUUUAUCUUGUAUCUCUUUGCUCAGUGUUUCCUGUAAGUUAUCCAUCUUUGCCUCCAGUUUAUUUCCAAUGUCUUGCAUCUUCUUCAGCAUCCACAAUCUAAAGUCUUCUUCCUGGAGGCUGAGAAUCUCCUCAUCGCUUAGCUGAUUUUCUGGGGGUUUUCCUUUCUCCCUCAUCUGAGUUAUAGUUCUCUGUCUUUUCAUUUUUAUAGGUUUUUGGUGUGGUGACCUUUUUACAGAUAAGUAGCCUCUCUUACUUCUGGUGUCUGCCCCCCUUGUGGCUGAAGUGGUGUGGGGGCUUGCUGUAGGCUUCCUGAUGGGAGGGGCUGAUGCCUGCCCACUGGUAGGUGGAGCUGAUUCUAAUCCCUCUGGUGGGUGGGGCUUAGCCUCUGGAUGGGAUUAGAGGCAGCUGUGUGCCUGAGGGGUCUUUAGGUAGCCUGUUUACUGAGGGCUGGGGCUGUGAUCCCACCUGGAUUGUUGUUUGCCCUGGGGCUUCUCAGCGCUGGCUGAUGGGUGGGGCUAGAUUUUCCCAAAAUGGCCACCUCCAGAGAAAGGUACUCUGCUGAAUAUUCCCGAAAGCUUUGCUUUUGAUAUCCUUCCCUCACAACAAGCCACAUUCACCCCCGUUUUCCCAGGAUGUCCUCCAAGAACUGCAGUCAGGUUUGACCCAGAUUCCUAUGGAGACUUUGCCUUGCCCUGGGACCCAGCGCACAUGAAAGUCUGUGUGCACCUUUUAAGAAUGGGGUCUCCGUUUCCCCCAGUCCCGCGGCGGUCCUGCACACAAGCCCCACUGGCCUUCAAUGCCAGAUGCCCCAGGACUCUUUCUCCCUGUGCCAGAUCCCCACACGUGACAGUUUGAUGUGGGGCUCAGAACUCUCACUCCUGUAGGGGAGUCUCUGUGAACCAGUAGUUUCCAGUCUGUGGGGCUUCCCACCCAGGAGGUGUGGGGUUGUUUAUACCAUGAAAUCGCCCCUCCUGCCUCUUGAUGUGGCCUCCUCUUUGUCUUCUGGAGUAGGAUAUCUUUUUUAAGGUUUCAGGUCCAUUUGGGUGAAGAUUGCUCAGGCUUUAGUUGUAAAUUUUGUUGUUUUUAGGAGAGUAGUUGAGCUCUAGUCCUUCUACUCUGCCAUCUUAAUCCCAU